rnacentral:rRNA from 1 species
UCUACGGGAGGCAGCAGUAGGGAAUUUUGCGCAAUGGGCGAAAGCCUGAAGCAGCAACGCCGCGUGCACGAUUACGCCCCUCGGGGUUUAAAAUUCUGUCAGUAGGGACGUAAAUUGACGGUACCUACAGUGGCAGCACCUGCUAACUCCGUACCAGCAGCCGCGGUCAUACGGAGGGUUCAAGCGUUUUCCGGAAUCAUUGGGGGUAAAGGGUGCGUAGGUGGCAGAGUAAGUCUGGUGUUAACUGCAGAGGCUCAACUUCUGUCCGGCACUGGAGAUUGGUAAGUUUGAAUGCUGUUGUGGUAGAGGGAAUGCAUGGUGUAGCGGGGAAAUGCGUAGAUAUCAGGCAGAACAUCGAUGGCGAAGGCGGUUUACUGAGCCAUAAUUGACGCUGAGGAACGAAAGCCGGGGUAGCAAAUGGGAUUAGAUACCCGAGUAGUC